rnacentral:rRNA from 1 species
GCAUGCCUAACACAUGCAAGUCGAACGGUAACAGGUCUAGCUUGCUAGAUGCUGACGAGUGGCGGACGGGUGAGUAACGCGUAGGAAUUUGCCCUAAAGUGGAGGACAACUCGAGGAAACUCGAGCUAAUACUGCAUAAGCUCUACGGAGUAAAGCUGGGGACCUUCGGGCCUGGCGCUUUAGGAUAAGCCUGCGUUGGAUUAGCUAGUUGGUGAGGUAAUGGCUCACCAAGGCGACGAUCUAUAGCUGGUUUGAGAGGAUGAUC